UCUGGUGGCCAUGGCGCGGCGGAACCACCCGUUCCCAUCCCGAACACGGAAGUGAAACGCCGCAGCGCCGAUGAUAGCCGGGCGACAGGCCCCGCGAAAGUAGGACGCCGCCAGUU
rnacentral:rRNA from 1 species